GUGUGUGUGGUGUGUGUAUGUAAAAUAUCAAGAUUUUCUGUUGCGGGAUGAUUGUUGAUGCAUCGAGAGCGUUUUUUUUUAAGAUAUAAUGUACUUGUAUGUACUUUGAACCUGCUGAGUGGAAACUAUAGUUCGAAACGGCCGCAACAAAAACAAUUGUGAUUUACAUCUCUAGCAGCCAGGCUCUUGAUUUGUAAUUGACGUCGACUGAUCAGCGAUACCGUUUUCGGUCACUUGGCCACGUAUUAACGAAGACGUUAACAUUCUACAGCUAGCAUAUUGACAAAAAGGCAGAAAAAUGAUUAAUACAGGGAAGUUAGCCGGUCGCACUAUUUUUAUAACUGGAGCUUCGAGAGGUAUUGGGAAAAGUAUAGCUUUAAAAGCAGCGAAAGAUGGUGCAAAUGUUGUUAUUGCGUCAAAACAUGCUG
rnacentral:lncRNA from 1 species